GGCAAGGAGGUUUUUUUUUUUUUUUUUUUU
rnacentral:misc_RNA from 1 species